rnacentral:lncRNA from 1 species
UAUUGGUGGGAGAUAGUAGUAUCCAGUGGAAUAGUCAAGGUGCAUUCAGGCUUGCCAAAGAUCAUUAGCUGACUCCAACUAGCUUGAUAUUGAUGUGCAACAUUUUUAGUAGUUAGUUGUUGUAUGUUCCAUUUAGUUCUUGGCUAUCUUUAUAAGUAGCAAACAAUUUGGAAGUGGAAGAAUACUUCUACAUUCCGUUUGUCCCAUUUUACAUGACUCACUUACUAUCUGUAUAAUCCUUCCGUUCUUUAAAUAUUUAUAUUUAUAUUUAUAUUUAAGUAGUUAGUAAUUGCAAUUUUGUUUAAUUCUUUAAUAGGUAAAUCGUAAUUCGAGAAAAUGGAGAUAUCUGAGAUUAACUCGAAGAUUAGUGAUUUUGUGUGUGGUACUUCAGCAAUAUAGUUGGGAGACAGAUUAUUAAAUUUUUUACUCUAGCAAGCAUGAGAGUCAUCCCACUACUAACAAUAUAGUUGGGAGACAGAUUAUUAGUAAAUUUUUUACUCUAGCAAGCAUGAGAGUCAUCCCACUACCGUGGGGAACUAUAAACUUACGUAUGUUGGUGACAGAUUAUUAACAUUUUUACUCAAGCAAGCAUGAGAGUCAUCCCACUAUUGGGAGGAAAUAUAAACUAACCCGUAACUACACCGCUAAGAAAUAUAGAAUUAUGUAGACAAAUUUAUUUACUAUUGUUAUCGGAGCACCAAGGCUCUUGAGUGACUUCUUUUGUUUGGUGUGUGCAUUUGCUCACUGUCUGGUAAUUUCCAGAAUUUGUUGCUUACUAUGCACUUAAAUCUUAUUUUCUCAAACUCUUAUGUGAAUUAUUUUUUUUUAUAGAUCUCAUCAUACUGGCUAUUUGCUACCCUUUACAAAAUUAAAUUAUGACGUACGCAUUGAGCGUGACUUAAGCGCUUGUUAAUCCUUUUGGUUGCAUUUUUCGCUCUUGAAAGUUAGAGCUAUUGUUUGAGUUUUGAAUUGUGAUAUGAAGGAAAUGCUGAUGAUUCUGUGGGUUAUAUAACCUAAAUCAGCUGAUGUGAGCUGAAUUUUAGCAUUUUGAGUGUUAUUGUGUAUCCAAUGAACUUGAUGGCUGAUAGUUGUAGUACAUAUAGUUUUUCUC